AAAUGCGAUAAGUAAUGUGAAUUGCAGAAUUCAGUGAAUCAUCGAAUCUUUGAACGCACCUUGCACUCCUUGGUAUUCCUUGGAGCAUGCCUGUUUGGGUAUCAUGAAAUCUUCAAAGUAAAUCUUUUGUUAACUCAAUUGGUUUCUACUUUGGUAUUGGAGGUCUUUGCAGCUUCACACCUGCCCCUCUUUGUUCAUUAGCUGGAUCUCAGUGUUAUGCUUGGUUCCACUCGGCGUGAUAAGUUAUCUAUCGCUGAGGACACUGUAAAAGGUGGCCAAGGUAAAUGCAGAUGAACCGCUUCUAAUAGUCCAUUGACUUGGACAAUACUUUUAUGAUCUGAUCUCAAAUCAGGUAGGACUACCCGCUGAACUUAAGC
rnacentral:misc_RNA from 1 species